rnacentral:rRNA from 1 species
UACGUAGGGGGCAAGCGUUGUCCGGAUUUAUUGGGCGUAAAGAGCGUGUAGGCGGCCAGGUAGGUCAGCUGUGAAAACUCGAGGCUUAACCUCGAGACGCCGGCUGAAACCCUCUGGCUAGAGUCCGGAAGAGGAGAGCGGAAUUCCUGGUGUAGCGGUGAAAUGCGCAGAUAUCGGGAAGAACACCCGUGGCGAAGGCGGCUCUCUGGGACGGUACUGACGCUGAGACGCGAAAGCGUGGGGAGCAAACAGG